AUCUAGCUGUAUGAGUAUUAAAUACCUGUCAUAAAGCUAGAUAACCGAAAGUAGAAAUUACUUCCACAUUCACGGUCAGGUAGGAAAUAAGGCCUAGGGUAUACCUACAACUAAUUAGGCCUUGGAACAAGUUUCGCCAAGUUCCACCUCAAAGGGAGACAAGAGAGGGGACAAAGACUGUGCCUGAUCCCCACCGGAUGGGUGCUGAAAGAGGAGAGAAAGGAGCCAUCUUGGGAGAUGUUGCCGCGGUACCUAAAAUGGCUGGGCUGGCACACGAGGUCUGGAUAUGGAGUCGUCAGGAUUCUGCAUACCCUAUUGGGGAUCCUGGUAUGGACCAAACAACCAUUAGACAGUUAAAACCAUCUCUGUCACUGUCAUAGUCAGUUUAUACAUCUGGCAUGAGGAGCUACAGUAGCCUACACUGUUCACAGAACCAGAGGACCACAACAAGCUAGAGGGAAGACGAUGGAAGAUUAUGCAAGAGGAUGCUUAAAAUAUACUUUGGCAAAAAUCACAAGAGACUAGAAAAUACUGGAGAAAUCUGAAAUUUUUUCAUGGAAUACAUUCACACAUUCACUCUUCCUUGAAUUUGUUGUUCUUUCACUGAUUCAAUGUAAUAAUAAUAAUGAAAAACAUAAACACACUUAUGUUCUCAAGUCACAAGUGACAUUCAAACUCUGCUGUGUGUGUGUGUAUGUGUAUGUGUGUGUAUGUGUGUGUGUGUGUGUGUGUGUGUGUGUGUGUGAGUGUGUGAGUGUGUGUGUGUGUGUGUGUGUGUGUGUGUGUGUGUGUGUGUGUGUGUGUGUGUGUGUGUGUGUGUGUGUGUGUGUGUGUGUGUGUGUGUGUGUGUGUGUGUGUGUGUGUGUGUGCGUGCGUGCGUGCGUGCGUGCGUGCGUGGCAUUGCUCUUUAUAAACCCUAAAGAAAGUGAUUCCACAUUGUUGUCAAUUAAAUGAUGUACAAUGAUCAUUUGUGUCUUGCUUCAUGUUCAUCAAUUUUUUAAGGGAUAGUAAAUGUGGAGAACCAAAAGAACACUUUGGGUGGGGAGUGGGCCGAAGGACACCUGCCUCAAACUAGAAUGAGAAAUGUAGCACAGGGGUAUGGGUGAUUAAAACAAUUGUAAUAUAGGCUACCAUGCUGAGAGAAACCCACCUCUUUGGAGCUGGCCAUCGUGCAAAGCAAACAACUUAUCAUUUAGUCCUCUUGUAUCAGUACCUUGGACAGCACCAUGUGUUGGGAUACAGCUCCCAGCUCCCACUUUUUCAUAUAACAAACUAAUUUAUGCAGGUGGGAGUGAGAAACAAUGGUGGCCUUAGUAAAUAUAAUACAAAUUGAAUAUUCCCAUAUUUAACGCAGUUAUUUCUGAAGUAGGUUAAAUCUGAAGUUAGACUUGUUUUGAGGGAGUUGUUUAAACUAUUAGAGGCUAUUCCUAAUUCCAGACUUGACAGACUUGAUUAGUGACUCCAUUUUCUGACACCAAAUCAGGUUUAGGAUUAUACAGUGUAGGUCUGAUUUGAUGGAACGAACAUUGACUCCAAUAUCUCACCCUUGACCUCAAUCAGUGUCCAUCCUGAUGACCAAAGUCAACAACAGAUGGACAGAAGUAAGAUCAAGAAGGGAUUAUUCAGUCGUUGUGUAGUUAUAAUCAAAACAUGUUUGAUGUGACAGGCAAAAAGUAGUAAAUAUAAUUAAAUGAAUGCUUAUCAUUGGUACUGAUGCUAACACUUACAAAGUUGUCAAGGAAAUUGUUUAAUUCAUGCUGGAAAACAGUCCAAAUAGUGCUGUUUUGGUGGAG